AUUGAACGCUGGCGGCAGGCUUAACACAUGCAAGUCGAGCGGGGAGAUGUAGCUUGCUACAUUUCCUAGCGGCGGACGGGUGAGUAAUGCUUAGGAAUCUGCCUAUUAGUGGGGGACAACAUUCCGAAAGGAAUGCUAAUACCGCAUACGCCCUACGGGGGAAAGCCGGGGAUCUUCGGACCUUGCGCUAAUCGAUGAGCCUAAGUCAGAUUAGCUAGUUGGUUGGGUAAAGGCCUACCAAGGCGACGAUCUGUAGCGGGUCUGAGAGGAUGAUCCGCCACACUGGGGCUGAGACACGGCCCAGACUCCUACGGGAGGCAACAGUGGGGAAUAUUGGACAAUGGGGGGAACCCUGAUCCAGCCAUGCCGCGUGUGUGAAGAAGGCCUUUUGGUUGUAAAGCACUUUAAGCGAGGAGGAGGCUACUUGGAUUAAUACUCUAGGAUAGUGGACGUUACUCGCAGAAUAAGCACCGGCUAACUCUGUGCCAGCAGCCGCGGUAAUAC
rnacentral:rRNA from 1 species